AAGGUGUUAGCUCAAUUGGAAGAGCGUCUGUUUGCUAAACAGAUGGAUGCAGGUUCGAGUCCUCGCACACCUUU
rnacentral:tRNA from 1 species